rnacentral:lncRNA from 1 species
GUUCACCUGUCAUGGUAAUGUAUCAUGUGACAGUCAAUUUCUAAAGUUUAUGCGCUGAUCGUGGUAAAAGUGUCCAACAAUCUUAGAAUCAAGCCAUGCUUCGUUGACAUAAAUGUUAGAGAUAUUAUAACCCAUUUUGAGUAAUUUGAUACCGUAUCUUGUAUUUGAUAACUUACAUGUCGGCUUGGAUUUUUUUGUCGAAACGCA